CGCGGCCUAUCAGCUUGUUGGUGAGGUAACGGCUCACCAAGGCAACGAUGGGUAGCUGGUCUGAGAGGAUGGUCAGCCACAUUGGGACUGAGACACUGCCCAAACUCCUACGGGAGGCUGCAGUCGAGAAUAUUUCGCAAUGGGGGAAACCCUGACGAUGCGACGCCGCGUGGGGGAUGAAGGCCUUCGGGUCGUAAACCUCUGUGUUACGGGAUGAAUUGAGCGUUGCUGAUAACGCAGCGUUUUUGACGUUACCGUAGUAGAAAGCCCCAGCUAACUACGUGCCAGCAGCUGCGGUAAUACGUAGGGGGCAAGCGUUGUCCGGAAUCACUGGGCGUAAAGCGCGCGCAGGCGGCGGAGUAAGUCAGACGUGAAAGGGUUCGGCUCAACCGAGUCAUUGCGUUUGAUACUGCUUCACUUGAGUCUAGAAGAGGAAAGUGGAAUGUAUGGUGUAGCGGUGGAAUGCUUAGAUAUCAUAUAGAACACCCGUGGCGAAGGCGGCUUUCUGGUCUAAGACUGACGCUCAUGCGCGAAAGUUUGGGGAGCAACCGGGAUUAGAUACCCCGCUAGUCCUUACUGUAAACGAUGGGUACUAAGUGUAGGGGGUGUUGAUUCCCUCUGUGCUGUAGCUAACGCAUUAAGUACCCCGCCUGGGGAGUACGG
rnacentral:rRNA from 1 species